AUUGAACGCUGGCGGCAUGCCUUACACAUGCAAGUCGAACGGCAGCGCGGACUUCGGUCUGGCGGCGAGUGGCGAACGGGUGAGUAAUACAUCGGAACGUACCCUGUUGUGGGGGAUAACUAGUCGAAAGAUUAGCUAAUACCGCAUACGACCUGAGGGUGAAAGUGGGGGACCGCAAGGCCUCACGCAGCAGGAGCGGCCGAUGUCUGAUUAGCUAGUUGGUGGGGUAAAGGCCCACCAAGGCGACGAUCAGUAGCUGGUCUGAGAGGACGAUCAGCCACACUGGGACUGGGACAGGGCCCAGACUCCUACGGGAGGCAGCAGUGGGGAAUUUUGGACAAUGGGGGCAACCCUGAUCCAGCAAUGCCGCGUGUGUGAAGAAGGCCUUCGGGUUGUAAAGCACUUUUGUCCGGAAAGAAAUCGCGCUGGUUAAUACCUGGCGUGGAUGACGGUACCGGAAGAAUAAGCACCGGCUAACUACGUGCCAGCAGCCGCGGUAA
rnacentral:rRNA from 1 species